rnacentral:lncRNA from 1 species
CACAGGACUCUGGGGUUUUAUAGUUUUCUCACACCUCUGCUAUAGUCAAAUAGGAAGGAGUGGAGAUAACAAAUGGAAAAUUCUUAUUUUCUGUGUGAUUUUGCUUCAGGAAUAUGCCCAUUCAAACACCUGCCUACUGGCCACAGUGCUACAUGCACCCUUCCCUGCCUGCUUCUUCAGAGGUGCCAUGGGAGAGAGACCAUUCUCAGGCAUCAUUGAAAGGCCUCAAACAUUGUCCUGAAAUCUCGAAAUUGUUGAUGCAUACCUCUGAACUGUUUCUCUGUGUGAGAGAAGAACCCUUGGUACCCCCAGAAGCCAAUGAUGUCAUUAGUCUGAAAUCUAGCAGGCUGAAGACACAAGAAGAGCCAGCGUUUUUGCCUCAAGGGCAGGUAAUGGCUUCUGAUCAUGUAGAAAGCAGGCAGAGAGGAAGAGUUCCAUCUUCUUCAGGGAGCUCCAGUGGUUUUGUUUUAUUCCGGCCUCUAAAUUUUCACAUUAAGGAUGGUGAUCUAUCAACUUAAACUUUAAACUCAUCCAGAAAGAAACCAUCCUCACAGAAAUACCCAGGAUAAUGUUUAAUCAAAUAUUUAAGCACCU